AAUUUCCAAAUGAAAGCAGCUUUAAUUUAUUUAAGCCACUGAAGGAAUGAAACUGAAAAUCUCGGAUAAAUAACCUACUGAAGCUGAAAAAGAAAAAUCAGAACUUGGUUUCAGUACUAUCAUGUCCCUUCUUUCAGCUUCAAAAACUCCAUAAUCAGAAGCUUCUCUCGCCAAUUAUAAGCAACCAUGGGGUUACCACCAGUUGCAGCACUAGCAAAGCUCAAACUUGGCCUAUCACUGAUCUCAUCUUCCCACACUGUUGUUUCGCCAUUGCUUACAAGUUUGAUUUGCCCUUUCGUCGUAAAACUCGCCUGUGGUCUCGGGCAGGUUCGCCGAGCUCAUUCUGACGUGAUCUACGCAUCCAGGCUCUUCAUUUUUCAACUGGGUCGAAUCGCCUUCGAAGACAGUAACCAAGACCAGGCUUUUGGCAGCAGAUGGGGAAGAGCUCUACGCUUGGUUUGCCAGAGGAUGACUCAGGCAAGAAGAUCUCCUGCAGCUACCCAGUCAGAUGAAGAUAGCUUCCAUGCCCUCUCCAUGCUUUCUCUUUA
rnacentral:misc_RNA from 1 species